GCCUAGUCCCUCUCUUUCUCUGGCUCCUGUGCGCUUGCUUUCUUUCGUUUUUCCCAGCCCCAUCACUUAUUCAUGGAACAGGUUCAACUCCCAGCACUGAUGUCUGGAAACGACGCGUGGACACAGAAGUGACAGUGGGUGGUUUCGAGAGUGGCCAGCGUGGAUAAUAGCAGCCGGGCAAUGGAGCCACACAACAAAAAGGAGAGCCAGAACAAAGCCCGGCAAUUACAGUAAGAAAGAACUCAUCGCUGUGGGGCAAGGUGGACAGCACAGAGCCACGCUCAUCUUACACAGCUCUCACACAGACACGCAUGCUGGCAAAAGGCAUCCAGCCCAUCAGGAGCCUCUGAGAGGAAACAGGAUGGGGAAUUCCAAACAAAGAGACAGAGCCAAAACAGGAGGCAACGAAGGGGACAGGCCACAGCUUUUAGCAACAUGUCAACUGGACACAUUAUUUCAUAAAAUAUCCUCUGUGAGCAUGAAAAAUGCAGGCUGACUCCAGGAGAAGGGGAAAUGGCGUGCAGGCGUCAGCACCGGAGACCAGGUACAGUUGGGCUGUAACCUCUCCCGCCGACCCCUCGUGACAAGACAGAUAGCUCCAUUCAUCUGCAACUGAGCAGCAGGGCGGUGCUGCAUUUUUCACCCCCGGCCCAGGAUGGAUCUGCUCGCCAGGAGGAAUGUCACCAGCCUGAAUGCCCUGAUCUGUCACAAGUCCACCAUCUUCACCUGAAUCACAGCACCGCAGACAGUUCGAGAGAGAAUCGGAGGAGAGAUAGAGACGAGCAGUCAGACGAUGACCAUUUUCCAGAAAGAACAACAGAUCAUGCAAAGCAUAUAUACUGAUCUGCUUUUAGCAACUACACAUUUCUCAAAUGUAAAAUGAAAGAACUGCUUCCAAUCAGUGACAAUGAUAGUAAAACAUAUUGCUGAAAAUGAUUUUGCCGCUGCAAUUGCAUACUGAUGCUAUUAAGCUCCAGUGAAGGACAGUGAAGUGAUGGAGAAUUAAUCGAGGCUGGUUUUAUCCCGCACUCUGCGCAAUGGCUUCAUAUUGAUCACUGUUUACAGAUAUAAUCACUUUCAGAUUCAUUCUUCAUCAGUAUGGCCUCCUGUAUUGAUUUGGUUUUACUCAUGUCUCUCCAUAAAGGCCCUGCGUGAGUGCAAAACCCAGGGAGAGAAUGUGCGUGUCUCAUAUUUAUGUAUGUGUGUGUGUGUUCAUUCAGGCUGUAAUCCUGUUAUGUUUUAUGAGAUAUCGCUCUUUGUUUCUUUGUGAGUGUACAGUGCAGCACAAAGGUCUCCUCUGCAAGAAAUAAACCCACUUGAGAAGAUAAAAUGUGAUUGCAAAAACAAGCAGUAGCGAUGUUAAGUACAAAAUCAUAACAAUCCGAACAUAAAACUGAAUUGAACUGAUACAGAUGCUUAUAAUGCACACAGAUAUACUGUAUGGACAGAGAAGUGAGUUACUUUUAAAUGAGUGUUCUCUUUUUCGCUUUUCUUUUUUUAAUUCAAUUCAAUUCAAUUCAAUUCAAUUCAAGUUUAUUUGUAUAGCGCUUUUUACGAUACAAAUCAUUGCAAAGCAACUUUACAGAAAAUUAAGUUUCUACAAUAUUUAGUAGUAGCUUAUCAGUGAUGACUGUCAGUUUAUGUGUAUACGGCAGAAAUGUUCAGAAAAAUCAAUAAAAGACGUAAAUAAACAGACGAUUAACACUAUUAACAGCAAUUAUGCAAUCAAACUUAGAGCAAAAUGUGGUAGUUCUGUAUGUUGUCUCUGGGUUAGCAUCAUCUGAGGUCCUCUGAGGGGUUGGCAUCAUCUCUUCUCAGGUGUUCUGGAUCCAGACUGGAGCUUGUGUAAAUCCUAGUUACCACAGGAUAUAAAUCCCGUGGCAAAACAGAGAAACAAAUAAAGACAUAAUUAGCGUAGCUGCUGUUCCAGCCAAGUAAAAUUAAUUAGUUUAACCCAAGUUAAAGAAUAAUAAUGCGCAUUUGAUCGGAUAUAACUGCAGUCCAAAAUUAUAAGAUGCAUUAUUUGAAUGCUUGGCCAAAAAGGUGUGUUUUUAAUCUAGAUUUAAACAGAGGAAGUGUGUCUGAACCCCGAACAUUAUCAGGAAGGCUAUUCCAGAGUUU
ensembl:lncRNA